rnacentral:lncRNA from 1 species
GAUGGGCUUUUAUUUUUUAAGGGGGGAGGUCUUCAGGCAAUGGCAGCACCCCCUUUUUGCUGUCUACCAAGGAGAGCUGCAAGAGAAAGAAAGAGAGGGGAGCGAAAUUCCUGAAUGGAUAGACAGAUGCUACGUCAUCAGGGCUGCAGCCUCUACUCCACAAGAGGCUAGGAGCUGGGGGGGAGAGAAGCAGACCAGCCGUGGGGGCCUGAGAGACAGACACCUCCUCUUCACAGGAACUGGCUUCCUAUUUGAUUUGGUCUUGGCAUUCCUCUUCCUUCUCUUCAUUCUGCAGCACAACUCAGCACGUUUGAUAUUGGUAUUCAGCACAUUGGACAGCGCCAGGAUGAGAAUCAUCCCUGUAACAAAGAUUUUAAAAGGAAGAAGAGGAAUAAAAAUCAGUUAAUCAAAGCCAGCCUUCACAUCUGUUCUGACAUUAUGUGCAAUACUCCAUAUCCAUGGUAUUCUACUUCUACAAAAAAAAGGGAACAGGUUUCCCUCCUGUUUUCUGCUUCUGCACAAAAUAUUGUUUAUGUAAGUUACUCUCUUAACUCUGUUAGAGGAAAGUUUGGGGAGAAGCCAUUAGAAGAGAUAGAAGAAAAGUCUACUCCGAAAAGCAUGAUGGAAUGGAAGGAGCCCUGAAUUCAGAAUCAGAGAACAUGAGUUCAAAUUCUGAUUGCUAAUUCCCAGCUAUGGACAGCUGGGUGAUUCAAUAGAUAGAGCACUGGGUCUGGAGUCAGAAAGACCUGAAUUCAAAUUUACUUACUAGCUGUAUGACCCUGGGCAGGUCACUUGACCCUGUUUGCCUUAGUUCUUCAUCUGUAAAAUAAGCUGGAAGAAGGAAAUGGUGAACCACUGUGAUAUCUCUGCUAAGAAAUCCCCAAAUGGAUCAUAGCCGUACACCACUGAAAAAAAAGACUCAGUACCACUUCCUAGCUAAGUGUCCUCAGAACAAUAAGAGGACUUAAAGGACAAGGGGCCAAUAGCAUACAGAGGGAGAAGCCUUAACACAAUUGGCCUCCAUGUACCUGAAGCAGCCUUCCAGGAUUGACUGGAGGACAGAUAACGCCAGCUACUAAUCCCAGGGAGAGAGAAAGUGAAGAGAUCUUCCUGUCACCCUCUCCACUGAUAUCCACCCUCCUCCAGGAAGUUUGUCAGGAUUCAUAGAGCAUCAGCCCUUGAAUUGCCUGGUUCCUGUCCGGGAUAAAAGUAUUUGACCUUCAUGUAUACUUAUUGUGUAUCUAAGUUAUAUUUUAAUAUAUUUAACAUCUACUGGUCAUCCUGCCAUCUAGGGGAGGGGGGGGGUAAGAGGUGAAAAAUUGGAACAAGAGGUUUGGCAAUUGUUAAUCCUGUAAAGUUACCCAUGUAUAUAUCCUGUAAAUAAAAGGCUAUUAAAUUUAAAAAAAAAAAAAGUAUUUGACCUUAACACAUCUCAUCUCUGUGUAUUUUUACUAGCCUGGGAGCCCCAUGGGGGCAGG